GUGGGGAAUAUUGGGCAAUGGGGGAAACCCUGACCCAGCAACGCCGCGUGAAGGAAGAAGGUUUUCGGAUCGUAAACUUCUAUCCUUGGUGAAGAUAAUGACGGUAGCCAAGAAGGAAGCCCCGGCUAACUACGUGCCAGCAGCCGCGGUAAUACGUAGGGGGCAAGCGUUGUCCGGAAUGAUUGGGCGUAAAGGGCGCGUAGGCGGCCUGGUAAGUCUGGAGUGAAAGUCCUGCUUUUAAGGUGGGAAUUGCUUUGGAUACUGUCGGGCUUGAGUGCAGGAGAGGUAAGUGGAAUUCCCGGUGUAGCGGUGAAAUGCGUAGAGAUCGGGAGGAACACCAGUGGCGAAGGCGACUUACUGGACUGUAACUGACGCUGAGGCGCGAAAGUGUGGGGAGCAAACAGGAUUAGAUACCCCAGUAGUCC
rnacentral:rRNA from 1 species